AGUGGAUGGGGAGCAACCUAGUUGUGCGUGUGUAAAGGUAGUGCCAAGAAAAGCGAUGAUCAUGUUGAAAAUCAAUUCCCGGUACCCGAAACCGACACAGGUGGGCAAGUAGAGAAUACUAAGGGGCGCGAGGUAACUCUCUCCAAGGAACUCGGCAAAAUGACCCCGUAACUUAGGGAGAAGGGGUGCCACCGAGAGGUGGUCGCAGUGAAGAGGCCCAGGCGACUGUUUAGCAAAAACAUAGGUCUCUGCAAACUCGAAAGAGGAGGUAUAGGGGCUGACGCCUGCCCAGUGCCGGAAGGUUAAAGAAGUUGGUCAGUUUUAGGAUGAAGCUAGCGACUGAAGCCCCGGUGAACGGCGGCCGUAACUAUAACGGUCCUAAGGUAGCGAAAUUCCUUGUCGGGUAAGUUCCGACCCGCACGAAAGGCGUAACGAUCUGGGCGCUGUCUCGGAGAGAGGCUCGGCGAAAUAGGAUUGUCUGUGAAGAUACGGACUACCUGCAUUUGGACAGAAAGACCCUAUGAAGCUUUACUAUAGCUUGGAAUUGUGUUCGGGCUUCCUGUGCGCAGGAUAGGUGGGAGGCGUAGAAGGUAUUCUUGUGGGGAUACUGGAGCCAACGGUGAGAUACCACUCUCAGGAGGCUAGAAUUCUAACUUAAUUAAGGACAGUUUCAGGUGGGUAGUUUGACUGGGGCGGUCGCCUCCAAAAAGGUAACGGAGGCGUACAAAGGUUCCCUCAGACUGGUUGGAAAUCAGUCGAAGAGUGCAAAGGCAGAAGGGAGCUUGACUGCGAGAAGUACAGUUCGAGCAGGGUGGAAACACGGUCUUAGUGAUCCGACGGUGCUGUGUGGAAGGGCCGUCGCUCAACGGAUAAAAGUUACUCUAGGAUAACAGGCUGAUCUCCCCCAAGAGUUCACAUCGACGGGGAGGUUUGGCACCUCGAUGUCGGCUCAUCGCAACCUGGGGCGGAAGUACGUCCCAAGGGUUGGGCUGUUCGCCCAUUAAAGCGGUACGUGAGCUGGGUUCAGGACGUCGUGAGACAGUUCGGUCCAUAUCCGAUGUAGGCGUGAGAAUAUUGAGAGGAGCCUUCCUUAGUACGAGAGGACCGGGAAGGACGCACCGCUGGUGUACCUGUUAUGAUGCCAAUUGUAAACGCAGGGUAGCCAAGUGCGGAGAGGAUAACCGCUGAAAGCAUCUAAGUGGGAAGCCCACCUCAAGAUGAGUAUUCUAGUGUAAGGUCACGGGAAGACGACCCGUAAAUAGGCACGAGGUGGAAGUGCAGAGAUGUAUGAAGCCGAAGUGUACUAAUAGACCGUCGGCUUGA
rnacentral:rRNA from 1 species